ACGAACGCUGGCGGCGUGCUUAACACAUGCAAGUCGAACGGAAAGGCCCUGCUUUUGUGGGGUGCUCGAGUGGCGAACGGGUGAGUAACACGUGAGUAACCUGCCCUUGACUUUGGGAUAACUUCAGGAAACUGGGGCUAAUACAGGAUAGGAGCUCCUGCUGCAUGGUGGGGGUUGGAAAGUUUCGGCGGUUGGGGAUGGACUCGCGGCUUAUCCGCUUGUUGGUGGGGUAGUGGCAUACCAAGGCUUUGACGGGUAGCCGGCCUGAGAGGGUGACCGGCGACAAUGGGACUGAGAGACGGCCCAGACUCCUACGGGAGGCAGCAGUGGGGAAUAUUGCACAAUGGGCGGAAGCCUGAUGCAGCAACGCCGCGUGCGGGAUGACGGCCUUCGGGUUGUAAACCGCUUUCGCCUGUGACGAAGCGUGAGUGACGGUAAUGGGUAAAGAAGCACCGGCUAACUACGUG
rnacentral:rRNA from 1 species